AUCUCAGGCUGACGAGGCUAACCGUGAGCGAUGGGAGGCACUGUGUACCGAGGCGUCGACCGAGGUUUUGAAACUCGACCCAAGUUGCACUGCAGCCAGACUUAUCCAGGCAGUUGCACAGUGUAUUCUUGGAAACACCAGGUGCGAAUGUAACGCGUCCAUAUAUCCAUUUUGCAAACGACUUUCAGACAUUAAACCGAGACCCUAAGCAAGCUCCACUAGUUUCCACAGGAAACUCUGACAGUGAAAAA